UAUAAGAAAUUAAAAAAAAAA
ensembl:piRNA 21ur-11207 ncRNA